UACGGAGGGUGCAAACGUUGCUCGGAAUCAUUGGGCGUAAAGCGCACGUAGGCGGCCGAUUAAGUCGGGUGUGAAAGCCCUGGGCUCAACCCAGGAAGUGCACUCGAAACUGACCGGCUUGAAUAUGGAAGAGGGUCGCGGAAUUCCCGGUGUAGAGGUGAAAUUCGUAGAUAUCGGGAGGAACACCAGUGGCGAAGGCGGCGACCUGGGCCAAUAUUGACGCUGAGGUGCGAAAGCGUGGGGAGCGAACAGG
rnacentral:rRNA from 1 species